GUGCUCGUGUCGGCAGUACAUACGCUAAAAUUGCAACAGUAGAGAAGACAAGCAUGUCCCCUGCGCAAGGAUAACACGUAAAUUCGUGAAGCUCCAUUAAAAAAA